UUAGGAAUCUUCCGCAAUGGGCGGAAGCCUGACGGAGCGACGCCGCUUGGAGGAGGAAGCCCUUCGGGGUGUAAACUCCUGAACUGGGGACGAAAGCCCCGAUGAGGGGGAUGACGGUACCCAGGUAAUAGCGCCGGCCAACUCCGUGCCAGCAGCCGCGGUAAUACGGAGGGCGCGAGCGUUACCCGGAUUUACUGGGCGUAAAGGGCGUGUAGGCGGCUUGGGGCGUCCCAUGUGAAAGACCACGGCUCAACCGUGGGGGAGCGUGGGAUACGCUCAAGCUAGAGGGUGGGAGAGGGUGGUGGAAUUCCCGGAGUAGCGGUGAAAUGCGCAGAUACCGGGAGGAACGCCGAUGGCGAAGGCAGCCACCUGGUCCACUUCUGACGCUGAGGCGCGAAAGCGUGGGGAGCAAACCGGAUUAAAUACCCGGGU
rnacentral:rRNA from 1 species